rnacentral:rRNA from 1 species
GAUGAACGCUGGCGGCGUGCCUAAUACAUGCAAGUCGAGCGGACAGAUAAGGAGCUUGCUGCGUGGACGUGAGCGGCGGGCGGGUGAGUAACACGUGGAUAACCUACUUAUAAGACGGGGAUAACUUCGAGAAACCGGAGAAAAUACGGGAGAACAUAUUGAAGCGCAUGGUUGGAUAGUAAAAUGCGGCGUUGCUGGCACUUAUAGAGGGAUCCGCGCCGUAUGAGCUAGUUGGUAAGGUAAAGGCUUACGAAGGCAACGAUGCGUAGACGAGCGGAGAGGCUGAUAGGCCACCCUGGAGCUUAGACACCGUCCAUACUCCUACGGUACGCAGCAGUAGCGAAUCUUCCGCAAUGGUCGAGAGCCUGACGCAGCAACGCCGAGUGUGUUAUGACGGCCUUCGGUUCGUAAAACCCUGUUAUCAGGUAAGAACCAAUGUGUAAUUAAACGUGCCCAUCUUGACGGUACCUGAUAAGAAAGCCACGGCUAACUACGUG